GUGCCUUUCCUGAAGAGGAGCUUACCCGCCUUGAGACAGCUGACCCCCGACUCCGCGGCCUUCAUCCAGCAGAGCCAGCAGCAGCCGCCACCGCCCACCUCGCAGGCCACCACUGCGCUCACGGCCGUGGUGCUGAGUAGCUCGGUCCAGCGCACGGCCGGGAAGACGGCGGCCACCGUGACCAGUGCCCUCCAGCCCCCUGUGCUCAGCCUCACGCAGCCCACGCAGGUCAUCCAGCAGCCUCCGAAGCCAGGAGCCCUGAUCCGGCCCCCGCAGGUGACGUUGACGCAGACACCCAUGGUCGCCCUGCGGCAGCCUCACAACCGGAUCAUGCUCACCACGCCUCAGCAGAUCCAGCUGAACCCACUGCAGCCAGUCCCUGUGGUGAAACCCGCCGUGUUACCUGGAACCAAAGCCCUUUCUGCUGUCUCGGCACAAGCAGCUGCUGCACAGAAAAAUAAACUCAAGGAGCCUGGGGGAGGUUCGUUUCGGGACGAUGAUGACAUUAAUGAUGUUGCAUCGAUGGCUGGAGUAAACUUGUCAGAAGAAAGUGCAAGAAUAUUAGCCACGAACUCUGAAUUGGUGGGCACGCUAACGCGGUCCUGUAAAGAUGAAACCUUCCUCCUCCAAGCGCCUUUGCAGAGA
rnacentral:lncRNA from 1 species